AGGCGGACCUUAGUGGGGGCGAAAUGGGCCGUCGCCCCCCCAGCAAAAACAAGAUUUUACUAGUACCCAGUAGUAUUUUCGGCCCAUAAGAGGGAUAAGGCCUUAUCUCUUUUCCCCUUCCUAGUCUGCAUCGUUGGUUCGAAAAAAAAGGCUCGUCUGCAUCGACGUGAGGACGUCAGCAACCGCGCUCCGUCGCUCCUGAUGCCGGUCGACCGCAUCCCGUUCCUCUGCCUCCAGCGCUGCUUCUCCGUUGGAGCUCCACCAUCUCCUCUCAAUCUGCUGCUCGCCCAAUCCCACCUCCAGGGUGCCCGCUCGCUCGAAGUGCCUCCCGGCGACCUCGGCUGAAUGUUGCAGCUGCGAGCUACUGCCUACCGGCCGGCCGGCCAGCGAGCCAGCGAGGAGAACCCUCUCCGUUCUACGAGUUUCCCACCAGCUGCUAGCUGCUGGUAGGAAGUACUGAUGGGCAGGCCGCAUGGGCAAAACCAUUAAUUCAUUUUACAAAAAAGUGAGAGAUGAAUUUGAAGUUAAUGAAGUAAUUCCUAAACGUGAAGAACCAGUGUUUGUUCAUGUCCAUCCCCAUCUCUUGUUGCUCAAAUAUGAACAACAAAAUUAGAAAGAGAAGGUUACAUCGUACCCACUGAUCAAAGAGAUGAUGUAGUGUAAUAAUUAAUUAUAAUACUACAUGGUUCUAUGACAACCUGUAGCACAUCACAUAGUUCUUUUGUUCUGGAGUAGUUUAGGCAUAUAUUGCUGCUAGAAGUUUAUUUUGUGGAAAAAUCAAUCCAAUUAUAUCAGUUUCUAAAAAUACUAUAAA